rnacentral:piRNA from 1 species
UGUACCUCUAACCGACAUCACCGCCAAA